CACGUAUGGUGCAAGCGUUAUCCGGAUUUACUGGGUGUAAAGGGAGCGCAGGCGGCACGGCAAGCCUGAUGUGAAAGCCCGCGGCCCAACCGCGGGACUGCAUUGGGAACUACCGGGCUGGAGUGCCGGAGAGGUAGGCGGAAUUCCUAGUGUAGCGGUGAAAUGCGUAGAUAUUAGGAGGAACACCAGUGGCGAAGGCGGCCUACUGGACGGUGACUGACGCUGAGGCUCGAAAGCGUGGGGAGCAAACAGG
rnacentral:rRNA from 1 species